ACAGAUAUCCCUGUGCCCCAACUUGGCCCGAACGAAAAUUUUGAGAAUGAUUCAUUAGCACAGCUUGGAGGAGCCAGAAGAGAAAUAAUUGGAUUUGUUACAAAAAAAUUACUUAUCGCUGCAAUAGAUGAAGGAACACCAGGAUUCCCCAACCUUGCC